CAGGACUUCAGACCACUUAAGAACAAUGGUCACAGAAAGAGACCAGGUGUUAGAGCUUAAGAAGGAGCCUUGUGCAUCUUGCUAAGGAAACUUCAGUCUCUGUGCUAGUAUUACUCUGGCAAUGGGCUGACUGCUGAAGGAACUUGACCGCAGUUUCAGCAGUGUCCUUAGAACGUAACAGGAUGAGGCAAACAAGGCUGUUAUUUCUGGACACAGUAAUCCUUCAGCAAUACAAUUACCAAGUUAUUCAACAUGGAAGGCUUUGCCAAGACAGUGGUGGCUGGGAUUUGACCCUCUAAGUGUGAGCUUCAGUUCUACAUGUUGGAAUAGAUCAUCUGGACCCUCUGGAUUCUGGUCCUGUACUGACCUUCAAGCUGUCUCUUUCAGCUUUCUGUGCUGAGGCAGAAAAGAGGAAAGCUGGACCACACCCAGCCAGGACUACACGUGCAGGGUCAUCCAUUCCUUUAUUAGCAAAUAUUCAUGAAUGCCCACUAUGUGCAACACACGGUGCUUGGUGCAAGCAUACAGUGAUGAAUCAAGUAGAGAAGGCCCUGCCCUUAUGGAGCUUACAGCCUGGCUGUGAGAUUUUUGGAAAAGAAAAUAAACCUACAGUUAAAAGAAAAAAGAAAACAAUGAAAAUAGAAGCUGAGCUUAGCUGAGGAUAUGAAUAACGAAAAGCAACCACCUUACCGCAAAACAACUCUAAGAAGUAGGAUUAUCAUCACUCAAUUUACAGGCAUCCAUGUCCUCCAGGAUAUAAAGGAAGAAGUUGAGGGAUGGAUGCAGAGUAUACUAUUCUCCACCAUUACAAAUUGGGCACCUUUGCUUUUGAAUGAGUGACCACAGCCCUGGAAACUUGUAUGCUUUGCUAAUUGAGGGCAGAUGAGCCUCAGGUCAAUCCCCCAUCAAUUAUCCACUCAACAACAAUAAAAUGCUAACUUGUAUGCCCUAACCCAGUUUGUUUAAUUAUUUGGAAGUGAUUUUGUAUCUAAACAACCCACACACUGGACAUAAGCAAUCCUGGAUAAAAUAGAAGUUUAUUAAACUCAUCUUCAUAUUUACAUAAAUUAUUUUUUAAAAAGACACCAUCUAGGCCAAGACCAGUUUUAUUUUUCCCUUCAAAGAAUAAUGUUGAGGAUCAAUUUCUCCAGCUUAACAUCACCAGCCUUGGCAGCAGCUCAUAUUUGGAAUAUAAAUGAUGUCAUCUGGUUGGCCUUUUCCCAUCACAAACAGUAAAUCUCUAAAUCUGGAGAGAUCUUUUAUUUGGUUACACAUAUUGUACAGCAUCAAGGGGUUAGAACACAUGUGCUAGAGAUUAUUAAAAUCAUCUGGAGGAGAAUGGCUUAUUAUUGGAAAGCCCAGAACUUAUGACCCUUUCAUGCCUGGUGUCUCCAUCAACUCUUCUUUCGCUCCUACCUUUUCAAAGAAAUAAUUGUGGCCGAUUGGCCCAUGAUUAUUUGCAUACUAAGGUUUUUCUGGUGCACCAUGCCUCUUCUCUGGAAAAAGAUAUCCCUAGCAGAGUAUAGAGAAAGGGGAACAGGAUUAGGAAUCAGAAAGCCAGUCACAGCAACAUGCCAAAAUAUGACUUUGGGUAACACAUUUGAACUCUACUAAUUUCACUCUCUCAUCUAUAAAAUGAAAAUAAUAAUAACCAGCCUCACAGGAAUUUUUUAGAUAGAUAGUUUUUUAAAAAGUCAUUGAAUAUCUGUUUAUCACUGUAUAAUUUGCUAAAAUCUUUCAAUUACAUUAGCAUUAGUCUUACCUAGCACAAGAAAGACACUCAACAGAUAUUUGUUGAAUAGCAUGUAAAUUGGUGAUAUUAUAGUUUGAUGGAUUCUGAGUCGUUAAGGUAUCUAUCACACCUCUGAACUUAGUUUUCUUUAUUUAUAAUGUGUAUUCAACUGUAUCUCUUUUUAGGGUUGUUGUAAGAGAUAAAGAAAAUAACAUACAUGAAGUAUCAGUUUCGGGCACUUUGGUGUGUACUUGAGAAAGAGGUUUCCUUUUCUCUGAUCGCUUCUUCUUUCAGAGCUUCAUUCUUCUCAUUCAACAGAAUUGGUCAUAAUUAUAACAUUCUACUUGUUGAGGAGAUAGCUGUGGGGCAAAGAGAACAGGGGGGCCAAGCUUUGGUCCUAAUUUUCCAUCUUCCCAGUUGUGUGAACUUUGACAAUUUGGGGGAGUCUGUUUCCCCAUUUGAAAAAUAAGGAGCUUGUCUAGAUCUGAAGUUCCCAAAUUUUUGAAGUUUAUAGAGCAAACAAACAAAUAAACAAACAACAACAACAACAACAACAAAAGACCAGUACCAACCAGGAGCCUAACAUAACAUGGUCAAUUUUUUGAUCUGAGAAAUAGAUUUUUGAAAAAUAACUGUCACUUACCAUUACAAUCAUUUCAAAUUAAAGGACAAGGAACUCCAAAAAAGAAAAAAAAGAAAAAUUAUGAAAUAUAAGACAUGACUCUAAAAUGAUUACAUUAACCUCAUGGGGAAAGAUGCUGAAUCGUCUUAUUGUCCUUAUUUUUUUCUCAUUUUUCCACAGACCUGUGAAAACUUGUUGUGGACCAACAUGGGUCUUCAGAGUAGUACUUGGGAACCUGUACUGUUCUGUAUUGUGGACCAACAUGGGUCUUCAGAGUAGCACUUGGGAACCACUGGGAUGCAUGACAUGGAAGGGCUCUUCUAGCACUAUGUCCUGUGAUUCUAUCAUAAUUCCACCAUGGUGAAAAGCUGGGAUACUUAAACAACAGUUUGUUUAGGUGAAAUCAGUAAAACAAUGAUCUGAUUCAGCUAAGAAGCUGAUCCCUGAAGUCAUUUUGCUGAACUGAAUGACUCUAGAUCUUGAUAGGAAGUAUAAUUUAGUCAAAACAAUCUAAAUUGUUAUGUGUGGAUUGACACAUAUGAGUUGUUCCCGCAGGUCUUCAAAAUACUUCCUUGCCCCUAAUGAGGCUGACUCAGGCUUUGUUCCCCACCAACUAUAAAUUGAUAAGUAUCACACUUGUACCUACCUACAUCAAAAUGAGAGAGAUAUGUGAGUGAGCCAAACAUAUCCAAAGCAUUCCUAAUUCAGGCACUAUGUGCUCACCCUGAGGUUAGCUUCUCUGACACCUUCCACUCUCUAAUCUUGAGCCAAAAUAUGUCUCUACACUCUACUGUGGUGAUCUCAAAGUCCCUGUAUGAAUGCCUCAUAUUUUAUCACCAAAAUUCUAAAUAGAGACUCUCUGUUUCAUGGUUAGCACUCAUUUCUACCAAGCUUGAUCAUCUGAGGUGGACCAAAUUAGAAAUAGGCAAGCAAAAUAGAGGUAGGAGAAGCUAUUAAUACAGGUCAGGAAGAGAUUAGUUUUGGCUGGGUGCUGUGGCUCACAGCUGUAAUCCUAGCAUUUUGGGAAGCUGAGGUGGGCGGAUCACUUGAGGUCAGGAGUUUGAGACCAGCCUGGCCAACAUGGUGAAUUUCCAUCUCAACUAAAAAUAGAAAAAUCAGCUGGGCAUAGUGGAAGGCACCUGUAAUCUCAGCUACUUGGCAGGCUGAGGCAGGAGAAUCACUUGAACCCAGGAGGCAGAAGUUGCAGUGAGCUGAGAUUGCACCACUGCACUCCAUCCUGGGCAACAGAGUGAGACUCCAUCUCAAAAAUAAAUAAAUAAACAAAUAUAGACAGGUCAGGAGUUGUGGGUUGUGGCUUUGCUUGACUUCACAGAAGAAAGAGAGAAAAAUCAAACAGAACUAACUGUAAGCUACUGAGGACAAUAAUAGAUGUUCAUAUCUUUGGUUCUAAGUCAUCAAGAAAAGUUUAAACUAUGUACAAGAACCUUCUCAAGGAAGCAGAUAAUUCAUUGAGAUAGAUGCUUGGGGGUGAGGGCAAACCUCAGCUAUCAGGAAAUUCAUCUCAAGUUAGCAAACGUGAAUUCUCCUGUGAUCCUAGGGUAAUGAAGUAGUAACAGCAAUAGAAACAACCAUAAUAAUGGCUGGCUACUGCAUUGUACUCUGCCUCUUAGGAGUACUUCCAUUUUCUCAUUUAAUAUUCAGAUCAACCCCAUGAGGAACAAAUAAUAAUUUUUAUUAUCCACUCAUUUCUCCAAGUGAGGAAAUCAAAGCUCAGCUUGGUUAAGUAGCUUGCCAAGACAGCAGAGCUAGUCAGUGGCAGAGUAAGAAUGCAAACCCUAGUCUUCUAACUUGAAGCCCAGUGCAUUUCCCACCCUCUGAUCUUCUCUCAUCCUUAUAAAUAGCCAUAAGACUAAGUAGUUCAAAAAUAUCUUCUUUCUGGUUCUCAGGCCCAUUACAAAUGCCACUUGCCCUGGGUAGGAAAAUAAAGCCCAAGCUCUUUGCUGGACUAUGUGCUAAGUCCUUGGCGCCCAGAAAUAACCUCCUGGAGACUAUGGGCCUUAUAUUUACCGCAAAGCAGUGGGUAAAUAACUAGUUGGUGUUUUAGUGUUUUGUGGUCACUUAAUCUGUUGUGUUGCUUCCCAAGACUCUGAAGGUUUCCUUUUUCAGUUAAUUCUUAUUUACGUUUCUGAGGUCUGUGUUGUUUUGGGUUUGGUUCAUUGGAUGUUUUUCUUGGAAUGUGUUGCCAUUGGCUUCAGGAUGUUCCUGCUCUGCUAUUUCAUGGAAUUUUCCCCGAGUGUGGAUUGCUAUGUAUUUCUUCGGGGCAGUGAGCCAAGGCAGUGCUGGUAUGUAAUCUGUUCCUCUGGCCAGAAGACUUCUUGUCACCCAUCCACAUGGUGCUUGGUUGUAUUUCUCCACUGAUAAUUCCCCUCCAUCUGUUAAUGUGCAG
rnacentral:lncRNA from 1 species